UACGUAGGGUGCGAGCGUUGUCCGGAAUUAUUGGGCGUAAAGGGCUCGUAGGCGGUUUGUCACGUCGGGAGUGAAAACUCAGGGCUUAACCCUGAGCCUGCUUCCGAUACGGGCAGACUAGAGGUAUGCAGGGAGAACGGAAUUCCGUGGUGUAGCGGUGAAAUGCGCAGAUAGUCAGGAGGAACACCAGUGGCGAAGGCGGCUCACUGGCCCAUUACUGACGCUGAGGAGCGAAAGCGUGGGGAGCGAACAGG
rnacentral:rRNA from 1 species